rnacentral:lncRNA from 1 species
ACGUGCGGGUUUUUUUGCACGGAGAAGCAUUGUGCCUGAACCGACGGGACGCCAUUUUGCAAGAUGCAGACGAAAAUUGCUGCUGAAUUAUGAAUGCGUUGUUCUUGAAGAUUUCUGCUUGAAUUCAUUUAGCUUCCUCAAGGUUUUAAGAAGAACGAUAACUCGAACACAGUGGGAGCUCCGAGAAAUGACAGUUUUCACCAUAUUAUCUUGAUGGAGGUGGAUACCGGAGUGGCGUCAUCCUAUGAAAACAUCUACUCCUUUGCACACCAGUUUUCAACUGUUGCAAUGUGUUGCCAUUCAGCACUCCAGAUUUAAGAACCAUUGAGGUUUCAAGCACAUAGGUCUUUGAGCUAGAUAAGCCAAUGUACACAAUUUCUGGAUGUCCCCGCCCACGUACCUAAGUACAAAUGGAGGUCAGCAUUCAGCCUUCUGAUACUGUCGAACCCCAUAGUUCCCUGGCUGGACCUGCAACUGCAGAAGGUACCAGUAUAACAGCUGUCUGCAUCUUGCCUAUACUGAUAAUGCCUCCAACAUUCCAUGGUUUUGGACCUCGAACUACACAAAGCAGCACUGUGGCAGGUGAGUUUGUAAUACGUUUGUCAGUGUUAUACCUAUCCACAUUCCAUCAAAGCUAGUCUUUGUCCAAAAAAAUUGGCGGUUGUGUAGGGCCCUGUUCCUUAUAAGGAACACAAAUCAGCUUUUAGGUUAUCAAACUUACCAAACUAGUUUGUGACAUUAGAAACCAACAGGUAUGCCCUAGAUAGAGGCCAUGUUUUUUGUUUGAGAUAAUUGUUUGGUUAAAGCGUUGAUAGAAGAUGACAACACGCAAUAAGACAAUAAAAUGGCGAUCACCGCAAAGUACAGUGAGCAUACAAAAGUGUGUUAAUUUGCAUGGUGCUUACUAAACUGUUCAAUAUUACAAAAAACGAUGUCAUGAGAAUGAAGAGAAGUCUGCUUUAGACGGACAAAAGUCAUUUUGGAAUAAUCAAAAACACCUUUGACUUAAAUUUUAUACAAAACUAAAGAGGGGCCUACUACACAAUUGCCAAAAAAAUGGGAAACUCCUGAAGGUUAAAGUAAACAAAAAAUGUUGAGCUGAUUCAAUUGCAUUUUAAAGAGUAAGGUCUCAAUGUUUCAAUGUCUAAAUGGUUUUCAAUGUGUACACCACUGAAAUGUCUCAGUUAUUCCAACAAUGAUGAGCAGUGAUGUAUCAAAACCUCAAAUCCUUGACUUGGAAGGCGCAUAAGAUCAUUUGCUCUUCAUGCACUGCAUUUGUUUCCAAUAAUAACACCACUCAAAAUCCAAAGAAGUAUGUUCAAAACCUAGCCUGCUGAAGUUUCAGCUGAGUGGAGAAUUAUGAGAAUUUUUGUGUGUGGAAAACUCUAAUUACUAUUCACAUUUUCUGGAGAGCCCCCCCCCCCCCCCAUUUGUAUUAUACAGCAGCUGCUUAUAUUUGUAGAUAGCGACAGUAUUGGUUAUCUUCCAUGCGAUGUCUAAUGGUUUGAUGGAGUGUGGAUUGGAUACAGUAUCUUACCCUUAAAAAUAACGGCCGUAAAACCUUCAGAUAUUAACCUUUAAUAGUUUUCUUAUGCUAGGGGUUAGGGUCAAUCUAAACAAAUUCAAUUCAUGUAAAUAUUGUGAAACUCUGAAACCAAAAGUGAUGAAUUAAACUCUGUCUUUGCCUUGUCUACUCACUUAAUUUUUUUAAGUGCCCUCAGAAAAGAAUUAACAAAUUUCUCAGUCUUAUUUUAACAAAUCCCAAAUCCUGAAAAUGCACAAACUUUGAAUUUGUGAAACUAGUUCAUUUUUUAAACUAGUUCAUUUUUUAAACUAGUUCAUUUUUUUUAGUGGAUGUAUUUUGCCACUUGCCGUGAGUAAUCCUCCAUAUAUAAAAUGUGGACAUAAAGUGAAGCCCUAUUUUCAUUCGUCUCCUAUCUAAAUAAAUAAAACAAAAUCUGCAUUGUUGAGAUUCAGUUUGGGGUCUGUUAGGUUUGUUAAGCCAUGUUCUUAAAGCUAGAGUCCAUCAUUUGCAGCUAUCCCAAAAGUAACUGGCGUAAUUAUUGUUGAAAAAUAUUCUUGGUUGAAAGAUAGUAAGGGGAUUAAACUCCCUGUGAAAUUACUCUUUCUGGCAAG